CCGGCGGGCUAAUACCCGGUUGGGAUGACGGUACCCAAAGAAUAAGCACCGGCUAACUUCGUGCCAGCAGCCGCGGUAAUACGAAGGGUGCAAGCGUUACUCGGAAUUACUGGGCGUAAAGCGUGCGUAGGUGGUCGUUUAAGUCCGUUGUGAAAGCCCUGGGCUCAACCUGGGAACUGCAGUGGAUACUGGGCGACUAGAGUGUGGUAGAGGGUAGCGGAAUUCCUGGUGUAGCAGUGAAAUGCGUAGAGAUCAGGAGGAACAUCCAUGGCGAAGGCAGCUACCUGGACCAACACUGACACUGAGGCACGAAAGCGUGGGGAGCAAACAGGAUUAGAUACCCUGGUAGUCCACGCCCUAAACGAUGCGAACUGGAUGUUGGGUGCAAUUUGGCACGCAGUAUCGAAGCUAACGCGUUAAGUUCGCCGCCUGGGGAGUACGGUCGCAAGACUGAAACUCAAAGGAAUUGACGGA
rnacentral:rRNA from 1 species